AGACAUACCUGGAAGUGGAGAUACAGAGUCUAUGAAGGUGGUUUUCCCAAGGUCAAUCUUAUCUGUUGCCCUCUGGUUCUGCUGACCCCUGCAGCUUCCCCAAAUGCGGCCGAUUUUAUUCCAUGAUUUGGAUUAGUGGAGAUCUGAGUUUCCACUCUACCCUAUU
ensembl:snRNA U1 U1 spliceosomal RNA